rnacentral:rRNA from 1 species
AAACGAUUGAAGUCAGUCGUACCGGUGGGUAAUCAGCCUUUUGGGUGUGAUUAUGUGGAGCGUGAGGAGCUAAUCACCUUCAUGCCUGCAUAUUCGUGCACUUUGGGUGUACUUGCUCGUGUGGUAGGUUAACAUCAAUUUUGGUCGUCAUAAAAUGGUUGGAGGAAUGUAGCUUCGAUCUCGUAUUGAAGUGUUAUAGCCUUUGGCAGAUGUGAUGAUUGGGAUUGAGGAUUGCAACGAACCCUUCGGGGCUACCUGUCUGAUCUCUGAGAGUUGCUCUGGUGCUGAAAGCUUGCUUAUGGUAUCAAAGUUGACGUUCAAUAGGUUAGAACGGGAUAAGUUCGUUAAGGAUGUUGACGUAAUGGCUUUAAACGA